rnacentral:rRNA from 1 species
CACGUAGGGGGCGAGCGUUGUCCGGAUUUAUUGGGCGUAAAGAGCUCGUAGGCGGCUCAGUAAGUCAGGUGUGAAAACUCCAGGCUCAACCUGGAGACGCCACCUGAUACUGCUGUGGCUAGAGUCCGGUAGGGGAGCAUGGAAUUCCUGGUGUAGCGGUGAAAUGCGCAGAUAUCGGGAGGAACACCAGCGGCGAAGGCGGCACUCUGGGCUGGAACUGACGCUGAGGAGCGAAAGCGUGGGUAGCAAACAGG